ACAUGGUUCCGUCAAGCACCAGG
rnacentral:miRNA from 1 species